UAAACUACACAACAAGCAUUGGUGAUAGUGGCUUGUUCCAGAGUGGUAGCAGUGUUGAAGACAGGCAUUUAUAUUCUGAAGAGACUGUGGAGAUAGAACUGACACAAUUUGUCCCUGCAUGGAACAUGAUAAAGGAGAAAAUGAGAAGAAUCAAUGAAUGCUUCUCAUAUUGGUCUGAACAAUGGAGAGGAUAGGUGGUUAUUGAUGGUGAUUGGGAAGAUUAUAAGAGCAGCAGGUAGGGGAAUCUCUUGUCCUAUGACUCUAUGGGAUUCUGUGUCUUUGCUUCUGUUUUAUUUGAAUCCUUCCUGAUAUGAGAUGUAGCAGCAUACAGAAGGUAUUUAAACCAAGGUAGUUGAAUGAUAUCAGCUAGGAUAUUAGUUUAGACAUUCUAAAGCAGGUUGGUAACAGAGAUGAGAUGAAAUCAGCAAGGGAAACCCACAAGUAUCAUCCAAGGUGACAGGAAUAAGGCCAACAUACACAUGUACCUCUUAAAAUAUACAAAAUAAGGAGAAUUCAGAGUCAAGAAUAUUAAUUUUAACUUUCUAAGCAUGAAUGAGCAUAUGUUGGCACAUGUCAAUUAAAAACUUGCUGGAAGCCAAAUCAAGAAAAUUAUUCUAGAGAAUGGACAGAGUAAGAAUGUUAAACAUUAAGCUGAGGGUGUAGCUCACUAGUAGAGUAUUUACUUCAAGACCUGGGUUCAAUCCCUUGCAUUGAAAAAAGUGAAAAAUUUAAAAGGCUCUUAAAUAUCACUCAUAGGUCAAAUAAUAUUAUAUUUAGGAAACUAAUGGUCAAUGAUAAGCUUAUUUAGCUGCAUUGAUGGGAACAAAGCUUGUUUUAAAUUUGUUAAUGAGGUAAGGGAAAGAAUAUAAUUUGGGAGAGUGAGUCUAGAAGAUUAAAUUAGAGAGUUUGCUGCUCAAAUGUGAGAAUAACAGUAGGGAGUAGAGGGACGGAAAUAUAGAGUCAAGGGAUUUCUUUAAAAGUAACUGGAAUAUUGCAUUGUAUUUCUAUUAUGAUAAGAACAUUCAAGAAGAGAGGAAAAACUGAUCAGACAAGAGAGAUUACAG
rnacentral:lncRNA from 1 species